UACGUAGGGGGCAAGCGUUGCCCGGAAUCAUUGGGCGUAAAGCGCGCGUAGGCGGCCCGGUAAGUCCGUUGUGAAAGUCAAAGGCUCAACCUUUGAACGCCGAUGGAUACUGCCGGGCUAGAGUCCGGAAGAGGCGAGUGGAAUUCCUGGUGUAGCGGUGGAAUGCGCAGAUAUCAGGAGGAACACCAAUAGCGAAGGCAGCUCGCUGGGACGGUACUGACGCUGAGGUGCGAAAGCGUGGGGAGCAAACAGG
rnacentral:rRNA from 1 species